AGUGAACGCUGGCGGUAGGCCUAACACAUGCAAGUCGAACGGCAGCACAGUAAGAGCUUGCUCUUACGGGUGGCGAGUGGCGGACGGGUGAGGAGUACAUCGGAAUCUACUUUUUCGUGGGGGAUAACGUAGGGAAACUUACGCUAAUACCGCAUACGACCUACGGGUGAAAGCAAGGGAUCUUCGGACCUUGCGCGAUUGAAUGAGCCGAUGUCGGAUUAGCUAGUUGGCGGGGUAACGGCACACCAAGGCGACGAUCCGUAGCUGGUCUGAGAGGAUGAUCAGCCACACUGGAACUGAGACACGGUCCAGACUCCUACGGGAGGCAGCAGUGGGGAAUAUUGGACAAUGGGCGCAAGCCUGAUCCAGCCAUACCGCGUGAGUGAAGAAGGCCUUCGGGUUGUAAAGCCCUUUUGUUGGGAAAGAAAAGCAGCAGGUUAAUACCCCGCUGUUCUGACGGUACCCAAAGAAUAAGCACCGGCUAACUUCGUG
rnacentral:rRNA from 1 species